AUGAACGCUAGCUACAGGCUUAACACAUGCAAGUCGAGGGGCAGCAUUUUAGUUUGCUUGCAAACUGAAGAUGGCGACCGGCGCACGGGUGAGUAACACGUAUCCAACCUGCCGAUAACUCCGGAAUAGCCUUUCGAAAGAAAGAUUAAUACCGGAUAGUAUACGAAUAUCGCAUGAUAUUUUUAUUAAAGAAUUUCGGUUAUCGAUGGGGAUGCGUUCCAUUAGUUUGUUGGCGGGGUAACGGCCCACCAAGACUACGAUGGAUAGGGGUUCUGAGAGGAAGGUCCCCCACAUUGGAACUGAGACACGGUCCAAACUCCUACGGGAGGCAGCAGUGAGGAAUAUUGGUCAAUGGGCGAGAGCCUGAACCAGCCAAGUAGCGUGAAGGAUGAAGGCUCUAUGGGUCGUAAACUUCUUUUAUAUGGGAAUAAAGUUUUCCACGUGUGGAAUUUUGUAUGUACCAUAUGAAUAAGGAUCGGCUAACUCCGUGCCAGCAGCCGCGGUAAUACGGAGGAUCCGAGCGUUAUCCGGAUUAUUGGGUUUAAAGGGAGCGUAGGUGGAUUGUUAAGUCAGUUGUGAAAGUUUGCGGCUCAACCGUAAAAUUGCAGUUGAAACUGGGAGUCUUGAGUACAGUAGAGGUGGGCGGAAUUCGUGGUGUAGCGGUGAAAUGCUUAGAUAUCACGAAGAACUCCGAUUGCGAAGGCAGCUCACUAGACUGUCACUGACACUGAUGCUCGAAAGUGUGGGUAUCAAACAGGAUUAGAUACCCUGGUAGUCCACACAGUAAACGAUGAAUACUCGCUGUUUGCGAUAUACAGUAAGCGGCCAAGCGAAAGCAUUAAGUAUUCCACCUGGGGAGUACGCCGGCAACGGUGAAACUCAAAGGAAUUGACGGGGGCCCGCACAAGCGGAGGAACAUGUGGUUUAAUUCGAUGAUACGCGAGGAACCUUACCCGGGCUUAAAUUGCAACAGAAUAUAUUGGAAACAGUAUAGCCGUAAGGCUGUUGUGAAGGUGCUGCAUGGUUGUCGUCAGCUCGUGCCGUGAGGUGUCGGCUUAAGUGCCAUAACGAGCGCAACCCUUAUCUUUAGUUACUAACAGGUCAUGCUGAGGACUCUAGAGAGACUGCCGUCGUAAGAUGUGAGGAAGGUGGGGAUGACGUCAAAUCAGCACGGCCCUUACGUCCGGGGCUACACACGUGUUACAAUGGGGGGUACAGAAGGCGGCUACCUGGUGACAGGAUGCUAAUCCCAAAAACCUCUCUCAGUUCGGAUCGAAGUCUGCAACCCGACUUCGUGAAGCUGGAUUCGCUAGUAAUCGCGCAUCAGCCAUGGCGCGGUGAAUACGUUCCCGGGCCUUGUACACACCGCCCGUCAAGCCAUGAAAGCCGGGGGUACCUGAAGUACGUAACCGCAAGGAGCGUCCUAGGGUAAAACUGGUAAUUGGGGCU
rnacentral:rRNA from 1 species